rnacentral:lncRNA from 1 species
GAGAAGGUCUGUGACUGCCGCUGCGUCACGACGUGCUCCCAGAGGACGGAGACCCCGUUGAAGGUGUCCACCAGGGAGUCGUUGUUGGAGAGGCCGAAGGUGGUGGACGAGGAAUUCAAGGCCCGGGUGAGGCUCAGCCUGCUGCCGGUGAUGGAGGCGGAGGAGCUCAGGUAGAGCUGGACAGCGUUGUAGAGCUCGUUGGUGUUGACGCCAUCGAUUUCAGUGAUAUCGAAGUAGCAGUAGGAGGAGCAGUUGAAGAGGC